rnacentral:tRNA from 1 species
UCCCUGGUGGCUCAGAUGGUGAACAAUCUGCCUGCAAUGCAGGAGACCCAGAUUUGAUCCCUGGUUAGGGAA